AGCAGUAGCCGCGGUAAUACGUAGGUCCCGAGCGUUGUCCGGAUUUAUUGGGCGUAAAGCGAGCGCAGGCGGUUAGAUAAGUCUGAAGUUAAAGGCUGUGGCUUAACCAUAGUACGCUUUGGAAACUGUUUAACUUGAGUGUAAGAGGGGAGAGUGGAAUUCCAUGUGUAGCGGUGAAAUGCGUAGAUAUAUGGAGGAACACCGGUGGCGAGAGCGGCUCUCUGGCUUGUAACUGACGCUGAGGCGCGAAAGCUAGGGGAGCAAACAGGAUUAGAUACCCCAGUAGUCCCUGUCUCUUAUAAA
rnacentral:rRNA from 1 species